CGCCGGAGGAAGCGGGGGAGGGGCUGGGGGGGGGGGGGGCGGCGCCCCCAGCGGGGUCUGGCCCCCCCCCCCAAAAAAAAUCCCCGUCCCCCCCGUGACACCCACGGGGACACCAAAAGGGGACGUGGGGUGGCCUCGGGCACCUGGUUCCCCCCCCGAGGGGACAGGGACAGGGGACAGGGGGCAGGGGGCAGGGGACAGGUGGCCCCCAGGUGUCCCCCCCCGGUUAUGGGGACAGCAGUGGCACCGGGCAUGGGCAGGUGGCACCAGCAGGGGUUGGGGACAUGGGGACAUGGGUGCCACCACCAGGAAUGGGGACAUGGGUGCCACCACCAUGGGGGUUGUGGACAUGGGGACAUGGGUGCCACCACCAUGAACUGGGGACACGGGUGCCACCACCAUGGGGACACGGGGACAGGUGCCACCACCAGGAAUGGGGACAUGG
rnacentral:lncRNA from 1 species